rnacentral:tRNA from 1 species
UCCUUGGUGGCUCAGAGGUUAAAGCGUCUGCCUCCAAUGCGGGAGACCCGGGUUCAAUCCCUGGGUCAGGAA